GAAAAUUCUGACACAAAAGUCUAUAUCAUAAUGCAAUUAAUGAUAGUACUAAAUUAUUUACAAUACUUUAUGUCCUUAUACAUGUAUGACAAUAUAUUUACAUAUAUAAUAAUUAUACACAUUGUAAUGAAAUUUAUUACUUGUAUGCUGAUUACUUUUUUCCUAAAUUCUAUUUUUCCUUAAGUCAUUGUUCUAUAUUUUGACCUUUCAUUCUAAUAUUUUCAGUCAGCAUGUGUUCAAUGAAGGUAGGGAUUAAGUAAGACCAACGUUUAACAUGACUGCAAAAAUUGCCACAACUAUUUUUUCAGAUGUCACUGAAAUUUUUCUCUAAAGAUUUGUCAUAAUGCAAGUGGAAAAUUUUUCCCAGAAUUUUUUUUGAAUCCUAUCCACUUGUGAUCCUAUCCACCAAUUCACCUAUUUCUCAUGGGAACAUGGUUUAAAAGAAAAUGAAAAGGUCACAUAGCAAACAAAUAAGCUAAACUUUCCCUCUAUCGUUUAAUUUACUGUAUUAAAUACAUGUUCAAAUUCUUUUUUGACAUCAGAUUUGAUUCAAUUUCAUAAUGAAUGACUGCAUAAUUUUUUUUGUAUGGAUAUGUAGGUGACAGCUGGUUUUAUUCUUGAUUUUCUUUUUGUAGUAAUUUUACUGUUCAAUACAAAAUGCUAUAGGAAAAAUUGUAAAGCAAAAAACAAAAAUAAUAGGAUUUUAAACUUAAUUUUGUAUUUUCAUUACAUACCAGAAGAUAAAACAAAUGAGCUACACAAAUACCAUGCUAUAAUGCCUCAAAGUGUAAUGGGAGAAAAGUACAAAAUAUAAAUAAAUAUUAAUGAACUGUUUUAAAAAUUCUAAAUUGUUAAAAGGACAAGUUGUCAAUAUGACAUUUUUGUCUAGUUAUUGUAAAGGUACAACAUCAUGAAAUACUGUGUUCUCAUAAGUGAGUUACAGUGCUUCCAAUUGGUCCUGAAAUAUCUAACUAAAGCAUUAUUUUAAUUGAAAUAUAAUGGAAUGCAUAUUGGAUAAUCAAUACAUCUUUGGUAGCACAAGUUGGAAGACAAUCACAAUUAUAAAACACAUUAAUUACAUUCUUCUACUAAAUAAAAGUAGAAAUAGGGGACUAAAUAACACAAUAACAAAGAUACAUUUUAUAAAACAUGUCUACAAUGGUCUUAAUUGAUCUAACUGUGCAUGACUAAUACAUUUCUACAUGGGAAUUCACUGAAAUAAGAAUAAAUUCCUUUUAUAUUUAAAACCUAUACAUAGUACUGUACAGUAAGCUGAAGAAGGAAUAAGCUGUCCAAUAGGUCAAGGACUAUAACUACUGACAAUGCAAAAGAUCCAACUUGACCUUCCUUUUGUAAUAUUUUUAUAAUUUGAAAACCAUUGGUAAAAGGGUUCAUUGAAAGAUAUUGAAUGUUAUCGGACGUCCCACUGUCUAUAAUAUUCUGCUCAGCUCUUAAUAAAAUUGCAUAUCACGGGUUUGUGACGUCAAAUACUUUGACCCGGCCUUAAUAACUCUAACCCGGAGAUAUCAGCGACGUCAUUAUGUUUGAACUGACCUUGAUAAGUAUGUGCUCUGCACAAUAUGAAGGCUUUUUGAUCUUGUUUGCUGCACUCACUCGACAAAAACCUUCAUAUUGUGACCUGCAGCUGAUAUUUUACAAUAUCAACAUGCACACAACCUGAUAAUCGGUACCAAUGGACAUAAAGUGAAUAUAUCAAGGACCAAAACUCCUGAACUGUAAUAAGUGAACUACGUCAAUAUGGAACACGACCUUCAUUUUGAAAUCAGUAUCAACAUAUAUGAUAGUUUAAAAAAAAUUGCCUGAACGGUUCAUAAGUUAUUUCACAGAAACUGUUGGCAGCCAAUACUUCACCAAAAUAUUAUACAUUUUUUUUGUUUUGGAACCCAGUUUCACAAAUGCAUCUGGAUAAUAUAGAAUAAGGAGAUGUUGUAUGAUUGCCAGAGAGACAAUUAUCCACCAGAAACCAAAUGACAAAGAUGUUAGUAACUAUAGGUCAUCAUAAAAUUUGGAUAUCAAUCAAGUUUUGGAUAAUAGAUCAUUUCUAUACUUGUGAUAUGAAAUUGAUAGCUGUGCAUAUACUUCUGGGCUCAUGUAUUUACAUAGUAAAUAUGACAAUUCUGAUGGAUUACAAUUUUCUUUUUUGAAAUUCCUUUUUCCAAUUGCUUUCUUAAAACCUUCCUUUUUUAUGCCAUCAAUAUACAUAACUAAAACCAAAAUCAGUAAAUAAAACAUUUCCAGUAACAUGUGGAAAUAUUAACAAAAGAUUUUUAUUUCAGUAACAGGUACUUUAUCUGUUUAUUGAGCAUUAAAGCAAUUGUCUUUCAGUUCCGAAUCUUUUUUGUAACUUGUCCUUUAUAUAAAAUAUUUAUGAAUGUAGCUCAACACAAUUAAGUAACACAAUAAUGGUUUAAAUAUGGACAUUACGGAUAUGUAUU
rnacentral:lncRNA from 1 species